AACGAACGCUGGCGGCAUGCCUAACACAUGCAAGUCGAACGAGACCUCCGGGUCUAGUUGCGCACGGGUGCGUAACGCGUGGGAAUCUGCCCUUCGGUUGGGAAUAACUGAGAGAAAUUUCAGCUAAUACCUUAUAAUGUCUUCGGACCAAAGAUUUAUCGCCGAGGGAUGAGCCCGCGUAGGAUUAGGUAGUUGGUGGGGUAAUGGCCUACCAAGCCGACGAUCCUUAGCUGGUCUGAGAGGAUGAUCAGCCACACUGGGACUGAGACACGGCCCAGACUCCUACGGGAGGCAGCAGUGGGGAAUAUUGGACAAUGGGCGAAAGCCUGAUCCAGCAAUGCCGCGUGAGUGAUGAAGGCCUUAGGGUUGUAAAGCUCUUUUACCCGGGAUGAUAAUGACAGUACCGAGAGAAUAAGCUCCGGCUAACUCCGUG
rnacentral:rRNA from 1 species